rfam:Dipodomys ordii contig_45175, whole genome shotgun sequence.
GGGAAUGUGGCUUAGUGGUACAGUGCUUGCCUAGCAUGCAUGAAGCCCUGGGUUCAAUUCCUCAGUACCA